rnacentral:snRNA from 13 species
GGUUUAAUUACCCUAAGUUUGAGGUUCGCCCCGUGCUUUGACCUGAAGACAUUCAGCGUCAGCUAUAAAUUUUGGAACGUCUCCUUUAGGGGAGACAAA